CACUUUUUCCCCAAAUUUUCUGCAACACAUGCCCUAAUCUAGUUUCAUCCAAUCAUCCCAAAUUGACAUUCCAUGGCGAGGAGAUUCAACUAGCGAACCUCAAUCGUGCAAAGUGCAAACAUAACUCUUCGACGACGCAAACUCACCGCGGAUUAAACGUGACCACACAAAGCUUCUCGAAGACGCAGUGAUAAUAAUCUAGCCAAAGAUCUUCAUCUGAAAGACCAAAUGGACAUCGACAAUGGAUGAGUUCCGAUUGAGGUGAUUGCCGGUUUUAACCGAGGAGACAAACUAAGGCGACGUACUACUUGGAAGAAAUGGAUAGCUUAUCGUAAAGUAGCGCCUUAUGGAAUAAAGAUUGUUCGAUCGAAUUCCCACCAGUUAAGGAAUGUCAAGCAAAGACAAAGGAAUUAAUGUUGUUCCAACUCCCACCCAGUUAAGGAGUGUCAAGCAAAGACAAAGCAAAAGCUAAGGCAAACAAGUAACACAAAAACAAUGCUGAUUUUGUAUAUAUUUUUAGACUGAGUACUUUUUUUUCUUUAGUGGUGUUUUUUCCUUCAAGUUUUUACCGUAAAAGAUUUAAUGA